rnacentral:rRNA from 1 species
GACGAACGCUGGCGGCGUGCCUAAUACAUGCAAGUCGAGCGGAUGUUGGCGAGCUUGCUCUUCAACUCUAGCGGCGGACGGGGGAGUAACAGGUGGGCAACCUGACCUGCAGAUCGGAGUAACUCCGCGAAACGGGUGCUAAUCCCGUAUAGUUUGCGCCACCACCAGGAGGGGUAAGGAAAGACGGUUUCGGGAUGCACGGCAGGAUGGCCCGGCGGAGGAUUAGCUAGUUGGUGGGGUAACGGCCCAGCAAGGCGACGAUGCGUAGCCGGCCGGAGAGGGUGAUCGGCAACACUGGGACUGAGACACGGCCCAGACCCCUACGGAAGGCAGCAGUAGGGAAACUUACGCAGUGGACGAAAGUCUGACGGAGCAACGCAGCGUGAGUGACGGAGGUUUUCGGAUCGUAAAUCUCUGUUGUGAGGGAAGAACAAGUACCAACUAACUACUGGUACCUUGACGGUACCUCACCAAAAAGCCACGGCUAACUACGUGCCAGCCGCCGCAGUAAAAC